rnacentral:rRNA from 1 species
GACGAACGCUGGCGGCGUGCCUAAUACAUGCAAGUCGAGCGGACUGAAUGGGAGCUUGCUCUUGUUCGGUCAGCGGCGGACGGGUGAGUAACACGUGGGCAACCUGCCCGCAAGACCGGGAUAACUCCGGGAAACCGGAGCUAAUACCGGAUAACACCGAAGACCGCAUGGUCUUUGGUUGAAAGGCGGCGCAAGCUGCCACUUGCGGAUGGGCCCGCGGCGCAUUAGCUAGUUGGUGAGGUAACGGCUCACCAAGGCGACGAUGCGUAGCCGGCCUGAGAGGGUGACCGGCCACACUGGGACUGAGACACGGCCCAGACUCCUACGGGAGGCAGCAGUAGGGAAUCUUCCGCAAGAGGCGAAAGCCUGACGGAGCGACGCCGCGUGAGCGAAGAAGGCCGUCGGGUCGUAAAGCUCUGUUGUGAGGGACGAAGGAGCGCCGUUUGAAGAAGGCGGCGCGGUGACGGUACCUCACGAGGAAGCCCCGGCUAACUACGUG